rnacentral:rRNA from 1 species
AACGAACGCUGGCGGCAUGCCUAACACAUGCAAGUCGAACGAGACCUUCGGGUCUAGUGGCGCACGGGUGCGUAACGCGUGGGAACCUGCCCUUAGGUUCGGAAUAACUCCCCGAAAGGGGUGCUAAUACCGGAUAAUUUCUUCGGACCAAAGAUUUAUCGCCUUUGGAUGGGCCCGCGUUGGAUUAGCUAGUUGGUAGGGUAAAAGCCUACCAAGGCGACGAUCCAUAGCUGGUCUGAGAGGAUGAUCAGCCACACUGGGACUGAGACACGGCCCAGACUCCUACGGGAGGCAGCAGUGGGGAAUAUUGGACAAGGGGCGAAAGCCUGAUCCAGCAAUGCCGCGUGAGUGAUGAAGGCCUUAGGGUUGUAAAGCUCUUUUACCCGGGAUGAUAAUGACAGUACCGGGAGAAUAAGCGCCGGCUAACUCCGUG